AAAGGGUAGAUAGGUAUUACUUUUUUGGACAACCAUAAUUCUUAAGCAAACUGACCUGUACACUAAUCAGGGUAUUAUUGUAGGUCUCUGAAAAACGCAUUUUGAUCAAAACGCAAACAGGUGAGGAUUAAAAAUAUUUUAUUUUAUUUAUGGUAAAAUAUACUUUUUCUGCACAUUGUUUCGGACAUAGUCAGAUAAUAAACAGCGUAUUGAAGUUACUCUAUGGUUGGAUUGCCGUUCCAGCAACUUAUGAUUGGCGGUUUUUGACGUGUAUACCUUUGCUUUCCUGUUGUAAUAGCUACUUCACAAAAUAGCCGAGUGACUGAUAUAAUAUAUUAUUUCGUUUUUAAUUUAUGGUAUCUUAUUUGAUCUGGAUUUUGAAAAGUAGGGUUCAUUUAAUAGCUUGAUUGAUAAAGCAAUGUAAUUUAUCCGCAAUGAAUGACAGUUUACACGCUAAACACUCAACAAUAUAAAUAGCGUAGAAAUCGCUUUCUUGUAAUGAUAAAGUAGCGCAUUCGAAUUUGUAUACUAUGAGCAUGGAGCAAAGUACUUGAAAUUCGUCUUUUUAUGAAUAAUCGUUUCAUUUUGAGUUACAGCAUCAUUCUCUAAAGGUUAUGGGUUGAACCUUCAAACCUAUGGAUGCGACAUUUGUCAGGUAGGGCAGUAGUACAAUCCUAGUAUUGGUGCGAUCCCCAACUUCUGCAAAGUAUGUAGAAGUGGGACAAUCAACUUUCAGAUCGGACAGUCAUCGUGUCCGGUAAUGAGUGAGUGAUUUUAAUGUUUUGUAAAUUUAUUUCAUGAAGUUAUACAACAGAAACAAAAAUCAUAAUGUUUUUCCUAACACGGAAAUCAACCAUGCCUAACAUUGUGUGUAUUUCCUCACUAAAAUUAUUUCAUUUAUACUUGUAGAUAUUUAAAUAUUCCUAUUAUAACUUAUUUAAAAGUGCAUAUAAGAGUCAACAUACAAAUAGUGAAUGAAUAAUCAAUUUAAAUCGGCACCCUUUUCACUGAAAAGCUAAAUUGAAACUUAAUAUACAUGUUGGUAUGAAUUUGUUUUGUUAUAGCUGACCCAGCAGUUUAUCGAUAUAAAACUUACGAAGUAAUGAUCAAACACAGGGCAGAUAUCGCCGACUGUAAUAUUGAUAUACGAAUCAUCGAGACACAGGUGUCUUUUGCAAUCCGGAUGACGUUUGUUGAACAGAGGGCUGCACGAUAUUAUGGUCCACGAUCCUUCUGUUCAUCUAUCACGUGCAGUAAUAUUGCAGUAGAUUUUGACAAAGAUACCAACUGCAAUCUUGUGACCCGAAGACGUAAGAGGGCUCUGGAAUACGAAUUAGUUUUCAUGGUUUCCUUUGCUGACAUAAGUUAGACGUUAUUUAAAUUUCAUAAUACAAAACUGUGGAAGUAAAAUGACAUUAUAAUCAGACAGCUCCCACGUUGUUGCCUUUAAAAUGUAUUUAGGUUAAAAACGAUGAUGUCAUCUUCAAAUAUUAUUCUCAUGUGUGACAUUUAUUCAUGAUUGUGCUUGUCAUAUUUAAUUUCAUACCUUGUUAGAUACAAGCGGUUGAACAUUACCCCCCCCUCUUCCCCAAUCUUAUCCAAGAUCUAGUGAAACGAGCAAUACAGACCCUCGAAUUUGAGCAGUAAAUUUAUUUCACUCCCUUUCAGUACAGUAAUUACUGACUCUGUUCAAAACGAGGAAAUGUCGACAAGAGACAUCAUACUCCUGAUAAUAUAGUUAAACGCAGCCCCAUUGCAACCCUCUGAUUUGGUUGGAAUAGUACGAUAUGAUAGCAUCGGACCAAUAGUAUCCAAGGGGGAAAUGUACUCCCGGAUACAAGAUACUUAGAGACACAUGCACCCCUUGUCCAUUAGGAAGCCGCGGCACUGAUGGGGAUACGUGUCUACCAUGCGGUGUGGACACAUACCAAGAUCAAACAGGCCAGGCGGACUGUAAAUUGUGCCCUACCAACUGAAACAACCAAGACCAAGGAGCAACAACAGUAUCUGCGUGUAAAGUUUCAGAUGAAGAGAAAAGCAGCCCUGCUAUUAUCAUAGGUGCUUCUGUCGCUGGUGGACUUACAUUCCUUAUUAUCGUUGCCUUCAUUAUUUACCGACGCAGAAAAGGAAGCAGGAAGUUACCUGAAGAAGACCGUUCCGGCCGGAGUGAUAAUGCCAAUCCUGGGAACGUCUAUGAGCUACCGCUGGACACCGAAACUGACAUACAUAAUACUAAAGACGAAUAUGAAGUGAUACCUGCGGAUGUUAACUAUUAUAUGACUAUAAAAGAAGAUCAAUCACCUGCUGGACCUUUCCUAGACACAGUUCAAAAUGUUGAUUCUGUGUCUUCAGAAAGAAAUGUUUACACCCAGCUUGACGUUGAUCGUUUGAAUGACAGGGCAAAAGAGUAUCAGCAGUUGACAUUGAAAGAUCCUGAUGACUAUCUUGUCCCUGUGCGAACGGCGAAAAUUGGCAACAUCAACACAUCUAAUUUGUAAAUUGACAAAUUUACAUCAUUUGUUUACAUGCUUCAGCUUUCAUUCUCGUUUCUCAUGAAUUCUACCGAGUUGGCGAAAAGAACUAUAAAACGCAUCGGUAUUCUUUCGUGCGAUUAUUAGAUAAUUGUUAUUUUUGAGUAUUGUUUUAUUCAACUAAUUAACUGUAACACAAGUAUAUUGGAUAUAAGCGCGUUGUUAAAACAUUCAUGAACAAUUCCGUUAAAGUAAUGUUACGGUUAAAGGAGUAUUAUAUCUCAACCUAGUCAGAUUGUUGUUCCGAGAUAAUAAAUGAGUAAAUUCGGCAUAUUGGUAAGAUAAAGUUGCAUUUGUGUAAUGUCCAAAAAUUAACACAGUCAGAAAGGAACUCUGGGGUUCGAUUAUAGUCGACUAUCAUCUAGAUCUCUGAAAAUUCAAUGCCAACAUUUACUAGGAAUAACCAUGGCUACCAACGAUAGCCAUCAAACGAAAAACGUAUUUGUUGCAACAGCUAUACACAACAUGCUCCGUUAGUAGCAUUUUAUUAUUAUUUUAUGACUUGAGCUUAGAAUUCUACAAAUGUUUGAUACAAUGUAAACCGCGUUUUGUUUAUUUAGGAUUUUACUUUCGAGCUGGAUUAAUUCAAAGAAGUGCGUUGACAUAAUUAUGGAUUAUAUUUCUGUAUAUUAUAAAUUACUUUCUACGUAUUAUUAAAAUAUGAUUCCCAUUCUGCACUGAACCUUUGAGUACAAAUCAAUAUACAUGUUUUCUAAAGUAAUAUUCGUUUUGUAAUGCAUGAACAUGUAUCUAAUGUAUAAGUGUUUAGUUAUAUGUACGUUGUAUAACCAUUGUAUACAUCUAUAUUAUAAUAUGUUGACUAUAUCUAAUAUGAACUUUUAAUAACCUUUGUAAUUUAUAUAUAUAAUAACGUAGUCAUAUUUGCAAACAUGAAACUUUAUAUAUGUAUUUGUAUAUUUAUAUAUGUAUUUCUAAAUAUAACUCUUAACCAAGGAAAUUAAGAUUCAUUCUAAGCUAAAAUGAGCAGUAUGAAUAGAAGAUAUAUAUUUUGAAAUAUUUAACACAGCAAUGUUCCAUCUUAAACGUCGAUAAUUUUUGACACUUCUAUUUUAAAUCAUGACGUUCAUACUAACGGACCAUGGCAACACCAUUAUAGAUUACCUUGCGAAUCGAAUAUUUGGAAUUGUUGGAACAGCAAUCAUUUUAAAAUUCAACCGCACACAAACAUACUCAUAUACGUUUUGGUGUAUGCAUUGUA